GAGGAAUAUUGGACAAUGGGCGGAAGCCUGAUCCAGCCAUGCCGCGUGCAGGAAUAAGGUCCUAUGGAUUGUAAACUGCUUUUAUACGAGAAGAAAUAGUGUUACGUGUAACAUGUUGACGGUAUCGUAUGAAUAAGCACCGGCUAACUCCGCGCCAGCAGCCGCGGUAAUACGGAGGGUGCAAGCGUUAUCCGGAAUCAUUGGGUUUAAAGGGUCCGUAGGCGGUUUAAUAAGUCAGUGGUGAAAUCCAGUCGCUCAACGAUUGAACUGCCAUUGAUACUGUUAGACUUGAAUUAUUGUGAAGUAACUAGAAUAUGUAGUGUUGCGGUGAAAUGCUUAGAUAUUACAUGGAAUACCAAUUGCGAAGGCAGGUUACUAAUGGUAUAUUGACGCUGAUGGACGAAAGCGUGGGUAGCGAAC
rnacentral:rRNA from 1 species